GAAUAUUGGUCAAUGGGCGAGAGCCUGAACCAGCCAUGCCGCGUGCAGGAAGACGGCCUUCUGGGUUGUAAACUGCUUUUAUCUGGGAAGAAAACAGUCCUGCGGGACCAACUGACGGUACCAGAUGAAUAAGCACCGGCUAACCCCGUUCCAGCCGCCGCGGUAAUACGGAGGGUGCAAGCGUUGUCCGGAUUUAUUGGGUUUAAAGGGUGCGUAGGCGGGACUUUAAGUCCGUGGUGAAAGCCCAUCGCUCAACGAUGGAACUGCCAUGGAUACUGGAGUCCUUGAAUUCAGUUGAGGUAGGCGGAAUUGAUGGUGUAGCGGUGAAAUGCAUAGAUACCAUCAGGAACUCCGAUUGCGAAGGCAGCUUACUGGGCUUGAACUGACGCUGAGGCACGAAAGCGUGGGUAGCGAACAGG
rnacentral:rRNA from 1 species